GCCCAGGUGCUGAAACUGGUAGACAGGCUAGCUUGAGGGGCUAGUGUUCGCAAGAACGUGGAGGUUCAAAUCCUCUCCUGGGCACAA
rnacentral:tRNA from 1 species